UACUAGCGUUUGUACAUAGAAGCUUGGCCUCUCGUUUCCGGAGCAUCCUCGCCCUACGACCACUUCACCCUACCGACAACCACGUGGCCCGUGGAAACCGCAGACCGUAAACACGUCGCCACAGGAAGCACCGUUUUGCCGCUCGUUAUUUUUCUCAGCGAUAUAACCGUCUGCCCGAACUGCGCCGCGCCGCGCCGCGCCGUGCCGCGCCGCGACGCUAAAAUGUACAGCGGCAUAGUAUUGUCGGUACGUUCACUGGAAGAUGACUUUUAAUUAAUUCUACCGGGUGUCUGACAAUCCAGAUGCAUAUUAAAAUUCCACGGAAUAAAAGGAUUAAAGGGCUAACUUCUUUGCGCGGUUCAUACACCCACGUGCGCUACAUUUUUUGGCUUUUGCCGUGAACCCAAGUAUCUUACGAACUUGAACGUUCGUGUCAAUCGCUUAUUACUGAUGUACUCUCCGGUCCAUUAUGACCCGAGAUACUGGUAUUAGCUAAUACGUAUGUUUAAUCCUGGCCGUACCACGUCCGAGUGCUCAAGAUUAGUUUGUGGUUAACUUUGAACGUGUAUAACUUACGAACCAAUAGUUUGCGCAUCUUGGGACUUGUA